CAGGCCUAACACAUGCAAGUCGAACGGUAGCACAGAGAGCUUGCUCUCGGGUGACGAGUGGCGGACGGGUGAGUAAUGUCUGGGAAACUGCCUGAUGGAGGGGGAUAACUACUGGAAACGGUAGCUAAUACCGCAUAACGUCGCAAGACCAAAGAGGGGGACCUUCGGGCCUCUUGCCAUCAGAUGUGCCCAGAUGGGAUUAGCUAGUAGGUGGGGUAACGGCUCACCUAGGCGACGAUCCCUAGCUGGUCUGAGAGGAUGACCAGCCACACUGGAACUGAGACACGGUCCAGACUCCUACGGGAGGCAGCAGUGGGGAAUCUUGCGCAAUGGGCGAAAGCCUGACGCAGCCAUGCCGCGUGGAUGAUGAAGGUCUUAGGAUUGUAAAAUCCUUUCAGCGGGGACGAUAAUGACGGUACCCGCAGAAGAAGCCCCGGCUAACUUCGUGCCAGCAGCCGCGGUAAU
rnacentral:rRNA from 1 species